rnacentral:rRNA from 1 species
AUUGAACGCUGGCGGCAGGCCUAACACAUGCAAGUCGAGCGGAUGACGGGAGCUUGCUCCUUGAUUCAGCGGCGGACGGGUGAGUAAUGCCUAGGAAUCUGCAUGGUAGGGGGGGACAACGUUUCGAAAGGAACGCUAAUACCGCAUACGUCCUACGGGAGAAAGCAGGGGACCUUCGGGCCUUGCGCUAUCCGAUGAGCCUAGGUCGGAUUAGCUAGUAGGUGAGGUAAUGGCUCACCUAGGCGACGAUCCGUAACUGGUCUAAGAGGAUGAUCAGUCACACUGGAACUGAGACACGGUCCAGACUCCUACGGGAGGCAGCAGUGGGGAAUAUUGGACAAUGGGCGAAAGCCUGAUCCAGCCAUGCCGCGUGUGUGAAGAAGGUCUUCGGAUUGUAAAGCACUUUAAGUUGGGAGGAAGGGUUGUACGUUAAUACCGUGCAAUUUUGACGUUACCGACAGAAUAAGCACCGGCUAACUCUGUGCCAGCCGCCGCGGUAA